rnacentral:rRNA from 1 species
CUAGCAUAUCAAUAAGCGGAGGAAAAGAAACUAACAAGGAUUCCCCUAGUAACUGCGAGUGAAGCGGGAAAAGCUCAAAUUUAAAAUCUGGCAGUCUUUGGCUGUCCGAGUUGUAAUCUAGAGAAGCAUUAUCCGCGCUGGACCGUGUACAAGUCUCCUGGAAUGGAGCGUCAUAGAGGGUGAGAAUCCCGUCUUUGACACGGACUGCCAGGGCUUUGUGAUGUGCUCUCAAAGAGUCGAGUUGUUUGGGAAUGCAGCUCAAAAUGGGUGGUAAAUUCCAUCUAAAGCUAAAUAUUGGCGAGAGACCGAUAGCGAACAAGUACCGUGAGGGAAAGAUGAAAAGAACUUUGGAAAGAGAGUUAAACAGUACGUGAAAUUGCUGAAAGGGAAACGCUUGAAGUCAGUCGCGUUGUCCAGGAAUCAAUCUUGCUUUUGCUUGGUGUACUUUCUGGUUAACGGGUCAGCAUCAAUUUUGACUGUUGGAAAAAGAUUGAGGGAAUGUGGCAUCUUCGGAUGUGUUAUAGCCCUUGGUUGUAUACAAUAGUUGGGAUUGAGGAACUCAGCACGCCGCAAGGCCGAGCUUUUGCUACGUUACGUGCUUAGGAUGCUGGCAUAAUGGCUUUAAUCGACCCGUCUUGAAACACGGACCAAGGAGUCUAACAUGCCUGCGAGUGUUUGGGUGGAAAACCCGAGCGCGCAAUGAAAGUGAAAGUUGAGAUCCCUGUCGUGGGGAGCAUCGACGCCCGGACUUGACCUUUUGUGACGGUUCCGCGGUAGAGCAUGUAUGUUGGGACCCGAAAGAUGGUGAACUAUGCCUGAAUAGGGUGAAGCCAGAGGAAACUCUGGUGGAGGCUCGUAGCGAUUCUGACGUGCAAAUCGAUCGUCAAAUUUGGGUAUAGGGGCGAAAGACUAAUCGAACCAUCUAGUAGCUGGUUCCUGCGA